rnacentral:rRNA from 1 species
UCAGUUCGGAUUGAGGCUGAAACCCGCCUCCAUGAAGUUGGAUUCGCUAGUAAUCGCGCAUCAGCCAUGGCGCGGUGAAUACGUUCCCGGGCCUUGUACACACCGCCCGUCAAGCCAUGGGAGCCGGGGGUGCCUGAAGUUCGUGACCGCAAGGAGCGACCUAGGGCAAAACUGGUGACUGGGGCUAAGUCGUAACAAGGUAUC